UACGUAGGGUGCAAGCGUUAAUCGGAAUUACUGGGCGUAAAGCGUGCGCAGGCGGUUGUGUAAGACAGAUGUGAAAUCCCCGAGCUCAACUUGGGAAUGGCGCUUGUUACUGGCAAGCUAGAGUGUGUCAGAGGGAGGUAGAAUUCCACGUGUAGCAGUGAAAUGCGUAGAGAUGUGGAGGAAUACCGAUGGCGAAGGCAGCCUCCUGGGAUAACACUGACGCUCAUGCACGAAAGCGUGGGGAGCAAACAGG
rnacentral:rRNA from 1 species